AUAUACACACACACACACACACACACACACACACAUAUCUAUAUAUACUAUAUGUGUAUAUAUUAUAUAUGUGUGUGUGUGUGUAUAU
rnacentral:miRNA from 1 species